AAAGGAAUUGACGGGGGCCCGCACAAGCAGCGGAGCAUGUGGUUUAAUUCGAAGCAACGCGAAGAACCUUACCAAGGCUUGACAUCCUGCGCAAUGCAUAGAAAUAUGCAGUUCCUUCGGGACGCAGAGACAGGUGGUGCAUGGUUGUCGUCAGCUCGUGUCGUGAGAUGUUGGGUUAAGUCCCGCAACGAGCGCAACCCUUACACUCAGUUACCAGCACGUUAAGGUGGGGACUCUGGGAGGACUGCCGGGGACAACUCGGAGGAAGGUGGGGACGACGUCAAAUCAUCAUGCCCCUUAUGUCUUGGGCUACACACGUGCUACAAUGGCCGUAACAAAGGGAAGCGAAAGGGUAACCUGGAGCGGAACCCAUAAAAGCGGUCCCAGUUCGGAUUGUGGGCUGCAACCCGCCCACAUGAAGUCGGAGUUGCUAGUAAUCGCGGAUCAGCAUGCCGCGGUGAAUGCGUUCCCGGGCCUUGUACACACCGCCCGU
rnacentral:rRNA from 1 species